CCCCUCUUAAAGUCGCACCUGGAGAGUUUCCAGUACUCUACCAGUCUUGACAACAGGAGGGAGAGCCAAGGAGAGGUAUAUCCAUUCCAUUCCUAGUUUGGGCCGUGGCUAGCGAGUGGAAGGCAAAUCUGCUACAAGU